CCGCCAUAGGCCAGUGUCCCGGAGGCACCCUACAGAGGUUCCUUCAGUGGUGCCCUGUCCACCGUGCCUGUCCACGACCUGGGGACAACUGUCAUCAAAGAAGUCCUGCAGAGGGCCAAGGUGGCUCCGGAAGAGGUGUCCGAGGUCAUAUUUGGACACGUUUUGACCGCAGGUGAACAUCGAUGGAGGAGCCAUUGCCUUGGGCCAUCCUCUGGGAGCAUCUGGCUGUAGGAUUCUAGUGACCUUGUUACACACCCUGGAGAGAGUGGGUGGGACUCGUGGUGUUGCAGCCCUGUGCACUGGAGGUGGGAUGGGGAUGGCAAUGUGUGUUCAGAGAGGAUGGGCCACCACCCUUACAGUUCUCAUUCAAACACUAAACAGAACGUGAGACCAGAGGACCAAAGUGAGGACAGGCACCCAGGUGGACAGCUUGCUGUAUUUUAAUGUGUGACACCCAAGGCUAAGACAUUGAGACAUUGCACUUGACACUGUUAUAAAACAGGGAAAUCCAGUCAGUCAUCAAGGGCUCCAGAGUGAACGACAGUUUCAUAAUUUCCAUGUUUAUUGUCUUUGCUUUCUGGGUAUAAUAUUCUCUGGUCAUUGAUUUGUUUGUUUGUUUGUUUUUGAGUCAGGGUCUCACCAUAUAGCCUGAAAAUCGUUUUGUAGAUGAGGUUGGCUUUGAACUCCCAGAGAUCCACCUUUCUGUGCCUCCUGAGUACUUUAAUUAAAUGCCUGUGCCAUUAUGCAGGGCCCCAAAAUGAUCCAUUCAAGGAAUGGGGAUGUGGCUUCUAGUUUGAACUUCAGGCUGUUCGCUCAAACACCCCUGCUUGCUGGUUGUCUUGUGGUUUCCCAUUGAUCAAACCAAGACCAAUCCUGUAAUGGAAAUUGGAUUCAGUGGCCUCUUCUAAGCUGAGGUGGUGGGGUAGGCAUUCUAGCUAUUCUAGUCAGAAGACUGGCCGUCCCAACCAGUGUGCCUCUGGGUGUUGGAAAGUGAGCAGCAAGCGCCUUCCGUGCAUUUACUUCUCUGCUUGACCAGACAGGAUGGUACUUGCUUCAAACGUCUACCUUGACUUCCCCAAAAUGAUGAACUGUGACUGGAAUUGAAAGCCCAAUAAACUCUUCCCU